rnacentral:rRNA from 1 species
GGACUACUAGGGUUUCUAAUCCUGUUUGCUCCCCACGCUUUCGCGCCUCAGCGUCAGUGCACCGCCAGAUAGCCGCCUUCGCCUCAGGUGUUCUUCCCGAUAUCUACGUAUUUCACUACUACACCGGGAAUUCCGCCAUCCUCUCAGGCACUCAAGACGUGCAGUAUGGACUGCAGUUCCCAGGUUAAGCCCAGGGAUUUCACAAUCCACUUACACGUCCGCCUACGCGCGCUUUACGCCCAGUAAUUCCGAACAACGCUUGUACCCUUCGUAUUACCGCGGCUGCUGGCAC